AACGCACAUUGCGCCCGCCAGUAUUCUGGCGGGCAUGCCUGUUCGAGCGUCAUUUCAACCCUCAAGCUUUGCUUGGUGUUGGGAACCUACUAGUUUUGUAGGUCCUGAAAAAUAGUGGCAGGCUCGCUAUAACUCCGAGCGCAGUAGCACUAUCUCGCUUUGGAUGUUUGGUCGGCACUAGCCAUAAAACCCCAUCUUCUUAUAGUUGACCUCGGAUCAGGUAGGAAUACCCGCUGAACUUAA
rnacentral:misc_RNA from 1 species